rnacentral:siRNA from 1 species
GGGAUACGUGCGAAUUCAGCGAUU